GCUUUAUUUACAUGAAUACAUAACUGCUGUGUAUUUAGUUAAAGGAGUUAUUUAAAACACUAGACUUUUUGGUUGUUUUUCUUUUUCAGCAGCAAUCAAGCAGCACAAAUCUUGUAUUUAUUUUUAUUUUUUUAACAGUGUUAAUCUUGUGCCACGUUGCCUGAAAGCAGAUUUAUGCUGCUAUGGGUAUGAAUAUCAAUAUCAUUUUUGUUACUUUCUAUUUGUCUGUCUAUUUAUCUUGUAUUUUUAUAGCUAAAUAAAG